CCCCAGCUCUAUGCUGCUUCUCACCUCCUCUCCUUUCUUCAGGGCAGCCCUUCAGUAAGUCACUUGCACGGGAAUCAUCAUUUCAGCUCUCCUUCUACCCAAAACUGAACCAGAUAGAUUCUCUGAGGAGUGGUGGCUCCAUGUCACUGAAUUUUUUGUUCUCCGUGUCUCAUCGGCUCUGGUAAACUUUCUCACUUCACAAAGAGAACAUAAGUUCGUCAGAACUUCUGUAAUCCUAAUUAGCUGCUGUUCAUAUCCGCACUUCAUUGAGGUAUGGGGGUUUUGGUUCUCAUCUGCUUUGACUGAUGGAGUCAGACAAUGGGCCUUCCAUUUAAUGUGAGGUGCCCUAACAUGCCAGAUAAAAGUGGUUAAGUGGCCAUUUUCCAAAUUUUUUAUGGAUUGUCAUUUUUUUU